AAUAAGAAGGCAAGUAUGAGAAAGUGUCACAAGAGAAGCCUUAGGAGACAUGAUGACUAAAUGUACUGUGGUACUCUAGGAUGUAUGCUGGGACAGAAAAAAAAGACAUUAGUUACAACCUUAUACACAUAAAUGGGAAAGGAAAAACACAUUUUUCUUCUGACAAUUUCAAUCCAUUGAUGGGAGAGCUGGUGGAGGUACAAAAGCAGCAAGAUGAAGCGCUGUGGACAGCUUCUGAAAAGAAGAUGUGAAGAUGUCUCUGGAACAGACUUCCAACUAAAGAACAAACGUCACAGACGCAGAGUAACUCCUUUGGUAACACUGCCUACUAAACCCUUCAGAGUGUACCUUUGAAUUUGUGAGUGGGACUGGAAGUAGGGAGAGAGAAGAAACAAAAGAUGAGCAUCUUCCCUUUGUCACAAUGGUCCUGUGACCUAACUUCGAUAUCAUCAAUCUCACAAUAUGUGGAUUAGCAACAUGUCACUCUGGAGCUAGGUCAGCCCUGGCCAUCUUUUCAAUUGCCCAAGCAGGUCCUAAUAGGCCAAAUAAGUGGACGGUGGCACAAGUUUCAGCUUAGGAAAAACUCACCUUCAUUUCCAUAAUCUAUCUCACACCACAGCUAAAGUCUUCAUCUGGAAACUUUUCUAUGCUGUGUCUGCUAUCAUGUAAUUUUUCCCAAUUAAUUUUUUCACAUCCU